rnacentral:lncRNA from 1 species
AAUGGCUAAUGCACGUAGAAGAAGAAACUUCUUGAUCAAAGUUAGAAUAAUGUUAUGGGACCUUUCAUAAUCUACUUUCUGAGGCGGGCAAUUGGGGACUUAGCAUCAAUGAGAUAAACUUUGAGACUUUAAGGGGCAUUGAUUUUGGGAGCUUGGAGGUCCCUUUUUCAAAAGAGAAAGGUUUUGUGCUUUGUCUAGUUUGUGUGGAGAGAAAGGUCUUAAUACAACUACCAAAACGCCAAAGAGAAAGGCUAGAUGGUUCACUAUGGCGUUUUGGUAGUUGUAUUAAGACUUUGUAAAGUUCGAGGCAAUGGUCUUUUUCCGGGAUUUUUGGGAAAAGCUUGAAUGUCAAGUUCUUGAUUUUAUUCCAAAAAAAAAAAAAAAAGAGUCAAAGACUUGAAAGACUUGAUACUCAUUGAGUUUGUAUAAGCUCCUAACAAAAGUCUUGAUCAACUAAUCUAAAAAGUAUUGGGAAAAUGGUUUAUGUUCAUUAGCAUGCCUUUGUGGAGGGUGGACAAACAUUGGAUGUGGUUCUUAUUGCAAAUUGAGACCAUAAGUUCAAAACUGAAGAGUUCCAUUAGUGGAGUUAUUUGUAAACUAGAUAUCGAGAAUAUGUACAAUUAUGUCAAUUAGAACUUUUUGCGUACGAUCAUGGAGAAAAUGGGUUUUGCUAAAAAGUGGAUGAGAUUGAUAAAGUGGUGCAUAUCCUCAGUUAGAUUCUUACUGCUAGCCAAGGGACCUUAAUGGUUUUUUUGAGAUCUCUAGGGGUGUGAGUUAGGGAGAUCCUCUAUCUACUUAUUCAUUUUAUUAAUGAGGGUACUUGGUUGUAUUCUAAUGAGGACUAAGAAGGGGGGCUUCAUUUCGGGAUCUCAUUUUAUUAAUGAGAUAAACUUUGAGACUUUAAGGGGCAUUGAUUUUGGGAGCUUGGAGGUCCCUUUUUCAAAAGAGAAAGGUUUUGUGCUUUGUCUAGUUUGUGUGGAGAGAAAGGUCUUAAUACAACUACCAAAACGCCAAAGAGAAAGGCUAGAUGGUUCACUAUGGCGUUUUGGUAGUUGUAUUAAGACUUUGUAAAGUUCGAGGCAAUGGUCUUUUUCCGGGAUUUUUGGGAAAAGCUUGAAUGUC